rnacentral:lncRNA from 1 species
AUUAAGAACCUGAUUUUGUAGUUUUUGCUUAGUGCACAGGCUGGGUUGUCCCCUCGUGGCCCUUAUGAUGCAGGAGAGAGAGGAAAAUUCUUCGAGAGAGACACUGGAGAAAGCAAGAGAGGAUGAGCAGAUAUUUGGGCAGAUUAUCUUGUGGGAAGAACAAUCAAAUGCAAAGGUCUUAAUAGGAUUUAAAACCACGAGACUGAAUGAGAUCACCAAGAAAGUAAGUGUAGAUGGAGAAAAGAAGACCAAGGACUGAGGUAGAAGCACUCUGAUACUUAGCAUUUAGGGACAUCACGGGACACCAACAAAGGAAAUUGAGAAA